GAAACCUACACUCACAAACCACUGCCACUGGAGUGCACCAGGUGCAGGCCAUCAUGGGAGAAACCUCCUCCUCUCCGUGCAUGGCUAUAGCUACCGUCAUCGGGCCAUUUCAUAUCCCAAUGGUGGAUCAGCCACUUCGCCACCUGCGCUUGUCUCAGUGACAAAACCAAGUACCCGUCCUUCCUCAGAACAAUACCCAGUGACUACUACCAGAGCAGAGCCCUGGCCCAGCUGGUCAAGCACU